AAGUGUGGGAUCAAACAGGAUUAGAUACCCUGGUAGUCCACACUGUAAACGAUGAUAACUCGCUGUCGGCGAUAGACCGUCGGUGGCCAAGCGAAAGCGAUAAGUUAUCCACCUGGGGAGUACGACCGCAAGGUUGAAACUCAAAGGAAUUGACGGGGGCCCGCACAAGCGGAGGAACAUGUGGUUUAAUUCGAUGAUACGCGAGGAACCUUACCCGGGCUCGAACGGUGCAUGAAUAAUACAGAGAUGGAUUAGUCCUUCGGGACAUGUAUCGAGGUGCUGCAUGGUUGUCGUCAGCUCGUGCCGUGAGGUGUCGGCUUAAAUGCCAUAACGAGCGCAACCCUUGUCAUUAGUUACCAUCAGGUCAAGCUGGGGACUCUAGUGAGACUGCCACCGUAAGGUGUGAGGAAGGGGGGGAUGACGUCAAAUCAGCACGGCCCUUAUGUCCGGGGCGACACACGUGUUACAAUGGGAGGUACAGAGGGCAGCCAGUUAGUGAUAACGCGCCAAUCUCAAAAACCUUUCUCAGUUCGGAUUGGAGUCUGCAACUCGACUCCAUGAAGUUGGAUUCGCUAGUAAUCGCGCAUCAGCCAUGGCGCGGUGAAUACGUUCCCGGGCCUUGUACACACCGCCCGUCAAGCCAUGGAAGCUUGGGGUGCCUAAAGUUCGUAACCGAAAGGAGCGACCUAGGGCAAAACAAGUAACUGGGGCUAAGUCGUA
rnacentral:rRNA from 1 species